GGAUCUGAUUCCUCCAGGUGGGAUCCAGCCCUGAUCCCAUCAGGAAAGGAUUUGGGGUUUGGUGUUGUUUCCUUCUCGCUGCCCUGCCGGGACCUGCCGGGAGCCCCCCGAGCUGGGUGAGACCCCCCGGGGGGGGAUCUGAACCCCCUCGGGUGGGGUUUGAUCCCCUCCAGGUGGGAUCUGGUCCCGAUCCCAUCAGGAAAGGAUUUGGGGUCGGGUCUUGUGUCCCCUCUCGCUGCCCUACCGGGACCUGCCGGGAGCCCCCCGGGCUGGGUGAGACCCCCCUGGGGUGGGAUCUGAACCCCCUGG
rnacentral:lncRNA from 1 species